rnacentral:rRNA from 1 species
UACGUAGGUGGCGAGCGUUGUCCGGAAUCACUGGGCGUAAAGGGCGCGUAGGCGGUUUAGCAAGUCGCAUGUGAAAUACCAGGGCUCAACUCUGGGGGGUCAUGCGAAACUGCUGGACUUGAGUGCAGUAGAGGAAAGCGGAAUUCCUGGUGUAGCGGUAAAAUGCGUAGAGAUCAGGAGGAACACCGGUGGCGAAGGCGGCUUUCUGGGCUGUAACUGACGCUGAGGCGCGAAAGCGUGGGGAGCAAACAGG